AACAUAGAAUCGGUUAGGCACAGAGAAAAGAAGAGAAUGCAAAAUCGCAGGGGAAAGGAAGGGUCUAAGCAUCGAAUACUAUUCAAAACAUUCACUCCUUCUAAUAGCUGAACAUAGAAUACUGUUCAAGGAGGAAAACCAAGAAGAGAGGGAGAAGAGAGAGGCUUCGAACGGUAAGGGUUUCAAAUGGUGCUCUCUCUCUCUCUCUUCACCCCACUCUCAUACUCUCUCUCAUAUGCCCUACCACACCACCAAUUUCUAGGGUUUAUAUAUCUCGUUGUGGCAAAUUGACCCAAUUGAGAGUUCUGAGAAGCCAUGGACGAAGCGACACCACUCGUUGCUGAACACUCGAAUUCUGAAAUCCUAACCAAGAGCCUUCUUGUUGGUUUUCUUGGUUCAUGGUGUUGCUCAGAACUUGGAGAAUAUUAUCAAAACUACAACGUGUUUGACAAAAGUCCCAAGUGAGGUGAGCUUCCUCUUGCUUUGAUUAUCUUUUCUAAUGAACCAAACAGAGUAUUUUUCUCAUUUGAUUACUUUGGUUGAUUGUAUGUCACAAUUUUUAGCCUAAUUUGUACUCUUUUUUUUAUUUGUUAAAAAAUUAUUAUUGUACUGUGAUUUACUGUAGAGGUCUAAAUGUGUGAUCUUUGAGUGAACUGAACUCUUAAUUCUGGAACCUUUUGUGACCACUACUAUUGUCAUGUUGCUUUUUUCAGUUAUAUGUUUAUAAUCACCUCAAAAAUAAUGCAGCGUUCAUUGCUUAUGUCUUUUAUGCAUCCAUUCUUA